GCCGGGCACGGUGGCUCAUGCCUGUAAUCCCAGCACUUUGGGAGGCUGAGGUGGGUGGAUCGCUUGAGGUCAGGAGUUCAAGACCAGUGUGGCCAACAUGGCAAAACCCCUAAAAAUACAAAAAUUAGCUGGGUGUAGUGGUGGGUGCCUGUAAUCCCAGCUACUCAGGAGGCUGAGGCAGGAGAAUCGCUUGAACCCAGGAGGCGGAGGUUGCAUGAGCUGAGAUUGUGUACUUCACUGUACUUCAGCCUGGGCAACAGAGUGAGACUCCAUCUCA
rnacentral:sRNA from 1 species